rnacentral:rRNA from 1 species
UACGAAGGGGGCUAGCGUUGUUCGGAGUCACUGGGCGUAAAGCGCACUUAGGCGGAUCGAUAAGUCGGGGGUGAAAGCCCAGGGCUCAACCUCGGAAUUGCCCUCGAUACUGUAGGGCUCGAGUCCGGGAGAGGUGAGUGGAAUUCCUAGUGUAGAGGUGAAAUUCGUAGAUAUUAGGAAGAACACCAGUGGCGAAGGCGGUUCACGGGACCGAUACUGACGAUCAGGUGCGAAAGCGUGGGGAGCAAACAGG